UACGAAGGGGGCUAGCGUUGCUCGGAAUCACUGGGCGUAAAGGGCGCGUAGGCGGACUCUUAAGUCGGGGGUGAAAGCCCAGGGCUCAACCCUGGAAUUGCCUUCGAUACUGAGAGUCUUGAGUUCGGAAGAGGUUGGUGGAACUGCGAGUGUAGAGGUGAAAUUCGUAGAUAUUCGCAAGAACCCCAGGGGCGAAGGCGGCCAACUGGUCGGAUACUGAGGUUGAGGCGCGAAAGCGUGGGAGCAAACAGG
rnacentral:rRNA from 1 species